rnacentral:rRNA from 1 species
ACGGAAGGCAGCAGUGGGGAAUAUUGGGCAAUGGGCGAAAGCCUGACCCAGCAAUGCCGCGUGAAGGAAGAAGGUCUUCGGAUUGUAAACUUCUUUUAUGAGGGACGAAGGAAUUGACGGUACCUCAUGAAUAAGCCACGGCUAACUACGUGCCAGCAGCCGCGGUAAUACGUAGGUGGCAAGCGUUAUCCGGAUUUACUGGGUGUAAAGGGCGCGUAGGCGGGGAAGCAAGUCAGAUGUGAAAUCUAUGGGCUUAACUCAUAAACUGCAUUUGAAACUGUUUCUCUUGAGUGCUGGAGAGGUAGAUGGAAUUCCUAGUGUAGCGGUGAAAUGCGUAGAUAUUAGGAGGAACACCAGUGGCGAAGGCGGCUUACUGGACUGUAACUGACGUUGAGGCUCGAAAGCGUGGGGAGCAAACAGGAUUAGAUACCCUGGUA